rnacentral:lncRNA from 1 species
UACAUAUUCUCUGUUCGAGAGUUUUGGAUUCGGUCCUUUGUUUCUAUGUCCUUUCUCCCUUUUAUACUUCAUAGACGAUCUCUUUGUGAUCAACUACUCUAAAAACUGCUUAAUCGUCAUAUAACUAUCCACUUUCUUCGUAAUGGCCACCUUGUCAUGAAAACUGCCUUUUAACUGCUGCCAUUACCCUUCAUCGUUCAACCGCUUUCGAUUGAAUUCCUUGAAUCGUGGAACGUGAUAGGGCUGCUUUAAUAACCGCUUUGAUAACUGCACUUCUUGAUAACCACGACGCGUUAUGUUUGUUAAUACCUUAGGCGACUUGAAGGUUUGGGCGAGAAUAGAGUAACAGCUCUGGGCGACUGUAUGACACUCCAUUCGCUCAGAUUCUGGGCGACUUGCAAACUUGGGCGAUGGCGUUACCGCGUUCUUGGCCCUCCUUAUUUAGGCCUUCAUCUUGAUUUGUUCAAUUGGGCUUCGUUCUUUGGGCUAUCUGAUUUGGGGAUUCUCCAAUUGGGCUUCCCUCCUUGGACUGUUCGAUUUGGGCUGAAUUUUUAUGUGCCAACAAUUACCCCCCAAUAUCGCAGAAUUAAUAAUAAUUAUUAAAUUUUUCCAUAUUCACUUUGUGUUUCCAGCAACAUUCGAAAUUCCCAAUAAUUUCAAUCAUUGUUUCUUUCUAUAACUUGAAAAGGUGCGUCAUUUUGCAAACCCUUAUAAACCCCAAACACGCCAUUUCACUGCCACCAAACCACGCCUCAUAUUUUUUGCGUCUUCUUCACGAUUCACUGUUCAUCUUUUGCUUCCCUGCUACGUAAUCCUGAAAAGCUUCAUUCCUUCUCAAAUGGCUGCUUCACAAUCUCAAGCUAGCGAUUCCUUUAGUUUUGAUGACUUUCAGAGACUUCUGAGUCGCCCAUACAUAACCCCAAGUUUUCUCGUGGAGGUAGUUGAACAGGCGGCGGUGGGUCAGCUGUUUCCUUGCACUCAUGGCCCUCCUUUUCUAAACUCUCUGCCACUGGGGCCACUUCGCGAAAGAGGUAUUCGCACUUGGCCUAAAUCUGAUGUAGCUUUUCGUAGGUGGCAUGCUCGCCUUGUGGGUCAUGGUCCUACCAAGGUACUUUUUGAUAGCGCUAGGAUUUCUGAUUUGUUGGAAAUCUCUAUCCGCCCCCGUACUUUUGAUUCAGCACUCUUUUCAAUUGCUUUGAGUUUUUGGUCUUCUGAGUAUAACAUCUUUAUUUUCCCUCUUGACCCCAUGUCUAUUACCUUAAGGGAUGUUGGGGCCCUGGUGAAUCUGCCACCUUUGGGCGAUACCAUUUUUCCUAGUAUCUUAGUCUCUGGUGGCGCCCCAAAGUUUGGUAGAAACUACACCGAUUCUUAUUCAAGCCUGCAGACCCUCCACAAUCAUUCAAGCGCUGAGCCUACCCAUACUGAACGAGUGGCCUUCCUUUUAGUUUGGCUUUGUAAAUAUGUUUUGUGCGUGCCAAGUAUAAAGCCCUCUCUGAGUUAUUUACCUAUAGCGCACGAAUUGGCGCGUGACGGGCCUUUGAAUUUAUGUUCUUUAUUUUUGGCUGCCCUUUAUAGAGGCAUGGCCUCUCUUCAAGCUCAAUUGAAGAAUGGUGCAUCUCCACUGGCAGUGGACCUCCUUGGUACACUCAACUGUGGUUGAGAUCCUAUUUUCCAUCGCUUGGUGCUCCAUCCAUUUCUCGCCCUUUUGCUAGCUGUUAUGGGCUAGCCAUGGAGCCCUUAACUCUUGUAAAUAUGUCCAGAAGGGACAUUUUUUCCAUUCUUUUAUUCUUUGGAUUCAAUCCCUUCAUUUUUUCCUUUUCCUCCUUUUUUGACUCCAAACUAUGUACAUCCCCCUUCCACUAUAGAUAACGCGAGCACCUCCCUACUCAUUUGGAUCCAAUUUUUAAUCGGGAGGGAGCUAUUUCAUGAUAUUCUAAUUGGGACCAAUGCCAAAAUGGGGAUAGAGAUUUAUGCUCUCCAAAUUUUUGCUCGUCAACUUGGUUUUGGUCAAACUUGGCCUGUUCCUCCUUGCUAUUCAAGGAACUUAGUUGACCGUUUUCAUACCAUUACUAAGGCGGGGGUAGAGGCUAUAGAUGCUCGUAAUCUUCUUUUAACCAGUCAUUUUUCAUUGGCCCCCUUCAAUUCUAGCCACGCCAUUCACCCUCUUUUUGAACAACUCUGGCCGUCGGUGAAGCGCAGAUUAUUUGCGACUGAUGCCAAUCGUGCCUUUCAUUCAUUAGACCAACCGAGCAUUUCUUUUCCUCCUUCUGUUUUGGUCACUCCUUUGUCUGUUCGGAGCCCCUCUCCUUCUCGUCGCACUAAAUAGUCCGCUCGUCCAUCUUCUUCUCUCCCUGCCAAGCCUACUACGGCCAAGAGUGCUCCAAGUCGUAAACGGCAAGCCUCAGCAUCUCCCAUUCUGGAGGAUGAUAUUGAUGAUGAUGAUGAUGCCCCUCUUAUCGUCAGGAGGAAGGUAAUUAAAUUGGUUUACUUACAAGUAUAUUUUUCCACAUUUGAAACUUUUCUGUGUGCUGAUGAUCUUUUGGACUUUUCAGAAAAGCUCAGCCUCUCCUUCAAAGGCUUUGGCAUCGACAACUUCUGCUCCAUCAUCCUCUGCUGAGGCUACUUCAUCCAAAUCGGUUGAUGAGGGGACUACGCUUAAAGAGACAUCUUCAGUCCCAGAGUCCACAUCACAACCCAUGGAUGAGCCACCUUCUUCCCAGGGCGUCAACCCCCCAAACAUCGAAGCAGAAGGUAAU